GAUGAACGCUGGCGGCGUGCUUAACACAUGCAAGUCGAACGAUGAAGCCCAGCUUGCUGGGUGGAUUAGUGGCGAACGGGUGAGUAACACGUGAGUAACCUGCCCUUAACUCUGGGAUAAGCCUGGGAAACUGGGUCUAAUACCGGAUAGGAGCGUCCACCGCAUGGUGGGUGUUGGAAAGAUUUAUCGGUUUUGGAUGGACUCGCGGCCUAUCAGCUUGUUGGUGAGGUAAUGGCUCACCAAGGCGACGACGGGUAGCCGGCCUGAGAGGGUGACCGGCCACACUGGGCCUGCGACACGGCCCAGACUCCUACGGGAGGCAGCAGUGGGGAAUAUUGCACAAUGGGCGCAAGCCUGAUGCAGCGACGCCGCGUGAGGGAUGACGGCCUUCGGGUUGUAAACCUCUUUCAGUAGGGAAGAAGCGAAAGUGACGGUACCUGCAGAAGAAGCACCGGCUAACUACGUG
rnacentral:rRNA from 1 species